rnacentral:lncRNA from 10 species
CCGAGCUUGCACAGGGCGAGGCGGGGGCAGGACCUGGGACCCAGCCACCCCGGAGGAAACCGGAGAGGAAACCAGCUUGGUCUUGCUCUCUGCCUCGUCCCAAUCCCCGGCUCUUACCAAAUGCAGGUGCAGUCUCCUCAGAACUACAAAGCAAGAAAAGAUCACCUUUGGGCUCAGGAACUCACAGUCGUUCUCCCUCUCCCGGAAGGCACAAUGACCAGGACAGUACCGAGCUUUACAGCCAUAUUGAACUCACCAUCAACUCAGCACAUUCAACUCAAUCAGUCAAAAUCGUCUUUUCCUGCUGGUAAAUAACACUGAAAUUGUGGGAAGAUGGGAUGGUAAGAACAAAGUCUGUCUCUGGAAGCACGGGCGCUGUCUCUGAAGACAAAUUGAUCGUAACACAAGCAGACCCGGUGGAACGACCUCCAUGCUGAACCCUCAGCUCCCCCUGCAUUUGGACCAUGGCCUGAUGGAAGAUAAAGAGACUGAUCUCAGAGUGGUACAGAUCUACAACCACGUGAAGAAUUGGAUUUAUAUUCAUCUGACUCCAGAAAGUUCCUGAGAUUCCUCUGCUUCAUCAUCUUUCCCAUGCCCUUUAAAACACGUUAUCAAAUAGCAACAGGUGGUGCAAUAACUAGACAAAUGAUUCUCAGCCUUUUUCUUUGCCAUUAGCACUCCCGGAAGGAGACGUGUUGGACACUUUUCCUUGUCACCACCCCAUGAACCUUCCAUACCACAGGUAUACUGUGUAUUCGGUUAUGUAUCAUCUGUACAUCUGUUUCUAAAACACAGAAACAGUAAGAGCCCCCCAUCCAAGAAUCCAUUUUAAUCCUCUUGGGUGUGAUGUCACCCCCCAAAAAUGCAUAUGCUCUGGAGUCAGUCACAAACACAUUACGAAUGCAUGAUCACUUAAGAAUGUUACCAAAGUUUAUAAAUUUGAGAUGAUAAUUCUAUGUUAUUUAGUUCAUUUUAGAGAUAAGUAAGAACCAGAGAUUCCAGAGAGGUAGACCAAGCUGACAGAGCAAGGAAAGGCAGAGCCAGACAUGCAGCUGAAGCAUCUGAAUUCCCACUCUAGUGCUCCAGCUUAACCUGGAUGAUCAGUAAAUGGUUGCUUUUCAAUGUGCUCUCAACACUUCCCACACUGCCUCCUUCAUUAAUAAAGGAAUGGUAUUUUGGGAGAAACCAGAAUCUGCCCUGGGGCAAUAGAAAGGCAGCAAAGCAACCUGCAUUCAAGUCUUUGGGGGAUUUUUUGGAAAGCAGAGUGUAUUAGUCUGCUAUUGCUGCUGUAACAAAUUACCAUAAAUUUAGUGGCUUAAAACAACACACAUUUGUUGUCUUAAAGUUCUGGAGGUCAGAGCCCAAAAUGGGUCUCAUGGAGCUCAAAUCAAGAUGUCAGAAGGGCUGUGUUCCUUUGGAAGGCCCUUGGGGAGAAUCUGUUCCAUGCCUUCUCCAGUUCCUGGAAGUCACCUGCUUGCUUUGGCUGUGGGGCACUUCCAGCAACUGCAUCACUCUAACCUCUGCAACCAUAGCACGUCUCCCUUUUCUGACUCUCACCCUCUUCUUUCUUUCCCUUAUAAGGACAAUUGUAGUACAGGAUAAUCUCCCCAUUUCAAAAUCCUUUACUUAAUCACAUCUGCAAAGUCCGUCUUGGCCUAUAAGGUGACAUACUUGCAGAUUCCAGAAAUUAGAAUUUGGACGUCUUUGGGUGGCUGUUAUUAUGCCUGCCACACAGACCAAUGCAUACACAAUGUGACCAAUCCAUCAUGAUUUGUCUGAGACUAUAUUGGCUUUAAAGCUGAAAGUUCUGCAUCCCAGGAAUCGCCUCAGUCCCAGGCAAUUCAGGACAAUUCGUC